CUGCUAUCAGAGUGGGACUAAGCCAUGCGAGUCAACGUAGCAAUACGUGGCACACGGCUCAGUAACACGUGGUCAACAUACCCAGAGGACGUGGAUAACCUCGGGAAACUGAGGAUAAACCGCGAUAGACCAUAAUGUCUGGAAUGAUUUAUGGUUCAAAUCUAUAUGGCCUUUGGAUUGGACUGCGACCGAUCAGGCUGUUGGUGAGGUAAUGGCCCACCAAACCUGUAACCGGUACGGGCUCUGAGAGGAGGAGCCCGGAGAUGGGUACUGAGAAAAGGACCCAGGCCCUAUGGGGCGCAGCAGGCGCGAAACCUCUGCAAUAGGCGAAAGCCUGACAGGGUUAUUCUGAGUGAUCUCCGUUAAGGAAAUCUUUUGGCACCUCUAAAAAUGGUGCAGAAUAAGGGGUGGGCAAGCCUGGUGUCAGCCGCCGCGGUAAUACCAGCGCCCCGAGUGGUCGGGACGAUUAUUGGGCCUAAAGCAUCCGUAGCCGGUUUUACAAGUCCUCCGUUAAAUCCACCUGCUUAACAGAUGGGCUGCAGAGGAUACUAUAGAGCUAGGAGGCGGGAGAGGCAAGCGGUACUUAGUGGGUAGGGGUAAAAUCCGUUGAUCCACUGAAGACCACCAGUGGCGAAGGCGGCUUGCCAGAACGCGCUCGACGGUGAGGGAUGAAAGCUGGGGGAGCAAACCGGAUUAGAUACCCGGGUAGUCCCAGCUGUAAACGAUGCAGGCUAGGUGUUUGGACGGCCACGUGCCGUUCUAGUGCCGCAGGGAAGCUGUUAAGUCUGCCGCCUGGGGAGUACGGUCGCAAGACU
rnacentral:rRNA from 1 species